rnacentral:rRNA from 1 species
UACGGAGGAUGCGAGCGUUAUCCGGAUUUAUUGGGUUUAAAGGGUGCGUAGGCGGACGCUUAAGUCAGCGGUAAAAUUGCGGGGCUCAACCUCGUCGAGCCGUUGAAACUGGGUGCCUUGAGUGGGCGAGAAGUACGCGGAGUGCGUGGUGUAGCGGUGAAAUGCAUAGAUAUCACGCAGAACUCCGAUUGCGAAGGCAGCGUACCGGCGCCCAACUGACGCUGAAGCACGAAGGCGUGGGUAUCGAACAGG